rnacentral:rRNA from 1 species
UCAGGACGAACGCUGGCGGCGUGCCUAAUACAUGCAAGUCGAGCGAAUCACUGGGAGCUUGCUCCCGGUGGUUAGCGGCGGACGGGUGAGUAACACGUGGGCAACCUGCCUGUAAGACUGGGAUAACUUCGGGAAACCGGAGCUAAUACCGGAUAACUUCUUCCCUCACAUGAGGGAAGGUUGAAAGUCGGUUUCGGCUGACACUUACAGAUGGGCCCGCGGCGCAUUAGCUAGUUGGUGAGGUAACGGCUCACCAAGGCGACGAUGCGUAGCCGACCUGAGAGGGUGAUCGGCCACACUGGGACUGAGACACGGCCCAGACUCCUACGGGAGGCAGCAGUAGGGAAUCUUCCACAAUGGACGAAAGUCUGAUGGAGCAACGCCGCGUGAGCGAUGAAGGCCUUCGGGUCGUAAAGCUCUGUUGUCAGGGAAGAACAAGUAUCGGAGUAACUGCCGGUACCUUGACGGUACCUGACCAGAAAGCCACGGCUAACUACGUGCCAGCAGCCGCGGUAAUACGUAGGUGGCAAGCGUUGUCCGGAAUUAUUGGGCGUAAAGCGCGCGCAGGCGGUCCUUUAAGUCUGAUGUGAAAGCCCACGGCUCAACCGUGGAGGGUCAUUGGAAACUGGGGGACUUGAGUGCAGAAGAGGAAAGCGGAAUUCCACGUGUAGCGGUGAAAUGCGUAGAGAUGUGGAGGAACACCAGUGGCGAAGGCGGCUUUCUGGUCUGUA